CCGUAUGGGAUGGGGUGUCCGCGCCCGUGUGAAGCUCCUUCGACGAGUCGAGUUGUUUGGGAAUGCAGCUCUAAAUGGGUGGUAAAUUUCAUCUAAAGCUAAAUAUUGGCCGGAGACCGAUAGCGCACAAGUAGAGUGAUCGAAAGAUGAAAAGCACUUUGAAAAGAGAGUUAAAAAGCACGUGAAAUUGUUGAAAGGGAAGCGCUUGCGACCAGACUCGCUCGUGGGGUUCAGCCGGCAUUCGUGCCGGUGUACUUCCCCGCGAGCGGGCCAGCGUCGGUUUGGGCGGUCGGUCAAAGGCCCUCGGAAGGUAACGCCCCCUCGGGGGCGUCUUAUAGCCGAGGGUGC
rnacentral:rRNA from 1 species